CCUACGGGAGGCUGCAGUGGGGAAUAUUGGACAAUGGGCGAAAGCCUGAUCCAGCCAUGCCGCGUGUGUGAAGAAGGCCUUCGGGUUGUAAAGCACUUUCAGUGGGGAAGAAAGCCUUGGGGCUAAUACCCUCGAGGAAGGACAUCACCCACAGAAGAAGCACCGGCUAACUCCGUGCCAGCAGCCGCGGUAAUACGGAGGGUGCGAGCGUUAAUCGGAAUUACUGGGCGUAAAGCGCGCGUAGGCGGUCUGAUAAGCCGGUUGUGAAAGCCCCGGGCUCAACCUGGGAACGGCAUCCGGAACUGUCAGGCUAGAGUGCAGGAGAGGAAGGUAGAAUUCCCGGUGUAGCGGUGAAAUGCGUAGAGAUCGGGAGGAAUACCAGUGGCGAAGGCGGCCUUCUGGACUGACACUGGCGCUGAGGUGCGAAAGCGUGGGUAGCAAACAGGAUUAGAUACCCCAGUAGUC
rnacentral:rRNA from 1 species